UACGUAGGGACCAAGCGUUGUUCGGAAUUACUGGGCGUAAAGGCGCGUAGGCGGCCAUCUAAGUCAGACGUGAAAUCCCCCGGCUUAACCUGGGAACUGCGUCUGAUACUGGAAGGCUUGAGUAUGGGAGAGGGAUGUAGAAUUCCAGGUGUAGCGGUGAAAUGCGUAGAUAUCUGGAGGAAUACCGGUGGCGAAGGCGGCAUCCUGGACCAUUACUGACGCUGAGGCGCGAAAGCUAGGGAGCAAACGGGG
rnacentral:rRNA from 1 species